rnacentral:sRNA from 1 species
AUAAAAACUUUAUAAACCCCCCGGAGCCCGAGCAGUGUGAAGAAGAGGCGAGAACGACCCCCGGACCGACCAAAGCCCGCGCGCCGCUGCAUCCCGCGUCCAGCACCUACGUCCCGCUGCCGUCGCCGCCGCCACCAUGCCCAAGAGAAAGGCUGAAGGGGAUGCUAAGGGAGAUAAAGCAAAGGUGAAGGACGAACCACAGAGAAGAUCCGCGAGGUUGUCUGCUGUAAGUGUAUGCUUUUGAAUUUUCGUGCUUGUCUCUGAAACUAAAAAACAUCAAAAAACAAUUCCCUUUGCUUCCAUGAAUUAUGGUUAGUGCCUGGUUUUGAAUCAUUGCCUCUACUUGGGACUCUUGCCCCUUUGGGUUUUGCUGGUUCUGAAAUUCUGAUGCCUGUAGCCAAAGUGGGACAUUUGAGUGGGCUUCUGGAAAUCCAACAUUCUAGAAGAAAGCCAACCACAAAAACUUUUGAGGAGGAGGAGAAACUUCUCUACCCUUGGUACUUUUGGUUGGUUGUGGGUGGUUUUCUUCAGUCCAUUGUACUGAUGUUCACUUUUUCCUCUCUUCCUGCCAAAAAAAGAAACCUGCUCCUCCAAAGCCAGAGCCCAAGCCUAAAAAGGCCCCUGCAAAGAAGGGAGAGAAGGUACCCAAAGGGAAAAAGGGAAAAGCUGAUGCUGGCAAGGAGGGGAAUAACCCUGCAGAAAAUGGAGAUGCCAAAACAGACCAGGCACAGAAAGCUGAAGGUGCUGGAGAUGCCAAGUGAAGUGUGUGCAUUUUUGAUAACUGUGUACUUCUGGUGACUGUACAGUUUGAAAUACUAUUUUUUAUCAAGUUUUAUAAAAAUGCAGAAUUUUGUUUUACUUUUUUUUUUUUUUUUAAAGCUAUGUUGUUAGCACACAGAACACUUCAUUGUUGUUUUUGGGGGAAGGGGCAUAUGUCACUAAUAGAAUGUCUCCAAAGCUGGAUUGAUGUGGAGAAAACACCUUUCCCUUCUAGUUUUGAGAGACUUCCUCUUGGCUCCCAGGAGGAGUGAUUCCCUGACUUUGA